UCUAGUGAUGAUGGCAAAGAGGUCACACCCGUUCCCAUGCCGAACACGGAAGUUAAGCUCUUUAGCGCCAAUGGUAGUUGGGGGUUUCCCCCUGUGAGAGUAGGACGUUGCUAGGC
rnacentral:rRNA from 1 species